ensembl:lncRNA
GUGGUCACGGCUCAGAUUUCCCCAAAUUCAUACAGAGAAGGAAGAGCAGCGUUGGUAAUCUGUGAAACUAUCAAUACAGCCAAAGAGAUCUACGAAGAGCUGAAGAGCUGCAUCCCAAGUAAAAGAGUGAUUCUCUACUGCCGCAGUGACAGAGACAGUUUGAGUAAAAUAGACAAGGAGCUGCUUCCUGGUGAUGUCAUUGUUGCCACAAACCUUGCCAGCCGUGGCACAGACAUUAAAGUGUCCAGAGAGGUGAACAAUAAUGGAGGGUUAUUUGUGAUCCUCUCCUUCCUUUCCGAGAACACAAGAGUGGAACUCCAGGCUUUUGGACGAACUGCACGCAAAGGUAAACCUGGAUCUGCUCAGAUAAUCAUUUCCACUGAACACCUGCAGCCAUCUUUCAGCACAGUGUCCUCUCUGGAGGAAGCCAAGAGCACAAGGGACCGACUUGCAGCAGAAAAGAUAAGUCACAUGAUGAACGAUGUUGCUGAGAUCAAACUGCGGGAGGACCUGUUUUCAGAAUACUGUGAAACACUUCAAGAUAUUUAUAACACCACUGAUGGAGACGAGGAAAGAGCUGUUGUUGCCAUCAUGAAUGAGUUCUGGGGGUUUUGGCUGCAAACUAAAUCAGAGGAAAUUGAUCAGUUGAAGAGAAAUGAAUUGGAAGAAAGUUUGAAAGCUGAUUUGUCAAAGGCAAAAAGUCAGUCUGAAAGUAGACUUCACCAUGUUCCAGCAUUUAUCACUACAUCAAGUUUGGAAAUAUUGCACUGGAUGAGAAAAAGUGGGAUACUGCAGCCAUAAUGUUUGAAAAAGCCAUGAAACAAGAUGAAAGCUGGGCAGCUGUAGCUUGUUACAAUGAUGCAUAUUGCACUAUACAACAAAAGAAAGCAGAUUACCUCACUAAGGCCAUAGAUGAUCUAAUGAAGGCACAGGAAUCUCUGAGGUUUCUCAAUGAGGAACUAAUAGUCUGUCUUCAGUUUGUAAAAAUGUCCUCUGCAGACUCAGCCAACAGCAACCAAACCAGCCUGGAAAAACAGUUAUCAACCAGGUCUACAAUGUAUAGUUACUUUGAUAAAAACAUUACUGAGGCUAUCCAAAAGUUAGAAGAAAUAAGAGAGAAAGGGAGGGAUGCAAUCGCCCCAAAAUCCCCGAUGUUCUCACUAGUUUCAGAUGCUGGUGAAGAUCUCCAAGUUGAAGCUUACGCCCGCUACAGUCGAGGUCUGAAAUGUGUGUUUUCUGUGGAAGAAAAGCCUCGUUUCUCAUGGGAAGGUCUGCUGGUGUUCUUUCUUGGAGUUUUACAGAUUGUUGGAGGAGCACUGCUCACUGUAUUUACAUUUGGAACAUUUGCUCAAGUUGGAAUGGGACUCAUUACAGAGUCAAUAUCAGACUGCAUCACUGGCAUUGAGGCCAUGGUGACAGGAGAAUUCAGC